AUGUCGUAACAAGGUUUCCGUAGGUGAACCUGCGGAAGGAUCUAUACAAAUACAUCCACGUCUCAUUCCUUGAGACCACGUUGAAAUGUUCGCUAGUGCGUGUCUCCUUUUCCCUUGACAGUGUCGACGUUUGCUUGUGCGUCCAGGGGCGUCGGCAAUUAGACUCUAGGCUUGCAAACGAGUACUUUCUGUUGCUGAAUUGUAUUUUUCUUGAUUGUAAUGGUCUGGGUAAACACAGUACAACUUAUACCAAUGAAACUCUAGGCUUUU
rnacentral:misc_RNA from 1 species